GGUUGUGUCCCUGCUACUCUUCAUUUCCUCUCUCAAUGAACCUCUCUGGAUUAAGCAUGCAAGAAGCCCUCCUGCUCUUCAUUCUGAGACACCAUAUGACAUGGAAUAUCCUGUUGUUCGCUUGGGGUCAUCUGCCCUGGCUGAGUCUCCUCCUGGUUUCUAAUGCACCCCCAGCCUCAUCACCUGCCGGACUAAACUCAGCUGCAAACAAGAAACUGUUGCUGCCUGAAGGUGAUGAUCUGUGAUAAACAAAUUAGCAGUCUAUCCCAGUCCGUGAAUGUAAUGAGAUAUCUUUGUUUCUGAUAAACUGGAAAUCACUACAGUAACAGUAUAUGUGCAGCUGUUACUAUUCCUGAGGUUAAACAUUAUGGAAUCCUCAAAGAAAAAAUGUUUCAAAGCCUGUUUAUACACACUGACAAGGAGCUGUAGAAACAAGGAAGCAGAAUUCUUAAGGUCAUGUAACUAACUGCAUGUACUUAAUCACCUGUCAUUAAAAGCACUUGAAGACCAAUAAACUUCUGGCAGUCAUCCUGGACUCUGAAAUGAACAGAUGCUGGCACCUGAGGUAGAUGUUAACACUUCUUUGAUGUGGAGCAUUUCUUCCUCUGUUCUAUGGCAAAUCAUUCUAGUUGCGCUAAUUUACAUGAAAAUGCCUCACAAAUAGUUCAGCGCAUAAAAUAAAUGUCCAGUGCAAGAUGGCAACAGACAAAUAUUUGGACCUUAAAGAACCAUCCUUGAAGGGAAAAGAAUCCAUUUGAUCCAUUAAUAAUGAGAACUUACUCUUUGAUCCUUUCUCUUCCUGUUACAUCAGAGAAAAGCAUGAAAUAAAACAUCUUGUGAUAUGUGUCAGGUGUUGCCAAAACAGCAAGCAAAGCACUUAUAGUCUUGAAAACAAAAAUGUUAGGCAAGAUCUAAAAUAGAUUCAGUAUCAAAACUCCACAGCCCAAAACAACGUUUCUCAGUGCCUUCUCUCUCUCAUGCUUUGGAUCGCAUAAAUUAAAUGCUCAUGAAAGAUAAAAAUACUCUCAUAAUAAAAAAAUAAUAAUAAAAAAGAGACUGUGAGUCUUUCAUAUUCAUAGUAAAAAUAAUAUUUUGUUUAUUGGGUGAGAAAAAUAAUUCAGGAUUCACCAACCAGUAUGAGAUUUUCUAAGCUGUAGUCAACUUGACAAUUGCGUGGCAGAAUUCAUAAAAACUUUUCAUAAACAUUUCUUGACUUAGCAAGUGAAGACUUCACAUCUGUUGGCAAGUUUUGGUUUUUCUUAAGACUAGCCAGACACACACAUCUGUUCUCCCGACUAGGAAAACCUGAAUAUGGAUCUUGCAACCAUAUGUCAUCAGGACAUUGUGCCAAUACAUUUGAAGUGCAGGUCCAAGAUCGGCACCAAAGAAGAAGGGCAGCUGAGGGCAACAGAGCUUUAAUUGCAGAGGGGGUUGUGAGGCAGAUUGUUUGGAUACUGCUAAGGAAUAACAUCAUUGCUUAACCAGAAAUUUUACUAUAACAGUGUUCACAUAUAAACAUUUGAUAUGAAAUGUCAAAAUCACAACUUUAUUUAGAUUUCUUUUAAGAUGUUGGUUGCUUAAAAAUAAUGUAUAUUUAUUAUUUUUGUGCAAAUGUGAAACAAAGAAAAUAUCAAACUACUGCAAAUUUUUCAUGGAUGAAAAGCCUGGUCACUGACCCUUUUUGCUCAUGUUAUAACAUAUCUCAUUAGAAAGACAUAUACAAAAAUUAUUUUGAUUAAAUCUAUAUGGUACUAGUGACAUAAAUUGACAAACUUAGUGUUACAUGGAACUUUUUUUAUGUAUACUUCAUUGGUCCUAUAAUUCCUUAGGAAGUGGCUAUGUGACUGGGUACAAUGGAAGAUACCUCAGUGAGUAAAGCUUCCUGAAAAGAGUUUUGAACAAGGAGCUAUAUGAUUGAGGCAGCAUAAUAAGAGUAAAAUGGGGCUUACUAGAACACUAUUAGAUCAUAUUGACCUGCCCUUUGUCAUGUAUCUACAUAUAAACUGAUGUGUAAGAUUGAUAUUAAAAAAAACCAGAUUAAAAAUUAGUUAAUUCCAUACCAAUUUUACAAUUAUAAAUUAAACUUACUCAGUUUAUACUGAAGAAGACUAGAUGUGCUUACAUGGUCUGUUUUGUUCUAUUGACUCAGUUUUCCAUGUCAUUGAUCCCCUGCCAAGAAGUUGCAAUAAAUGACUAUGGAAAGGAGGAAGAGAUUGGUAGCACCUUAAAACACCAUCACGGUUCUGAAUAAAAUACCAUAAUCCUUCUCCAUUAACAAAAACUAGGAUCAAAACUGGUUUCUGUUGGUUUAAAAAACAGGUCAGUGUGCUUCAUGCAAGAAACAUGCAACUUUCCAGAGAAUGUUACCAAGAUUUGUUGCUUCUAUUUCAUUAAAGCUACAGUUUUGAAAUGCCCAGUGGGUGUAAGAUUAGUGUAACGCAAUUUCUCUCCACAACACCAAUGUGCCUGUUUUCAUGCUCCAAUUGUCUGUCAGAUUUCCCUGAAGACUGGUAAAAAAAUGUCUGUCAAAACUUGGACAUUCCUCAAAGCAAAUGACUCACAUAGAAAAAAUUGAAUAAUAAUCAAAAGAAUAGUAGUGUGAUUAACAACACAGAAGAAUGAAAGCAAAAUGUAUACCUUAAAAGAAAACUUCAGAGAGUUUAAAAAUCACUAUGGGAGAAUUAGCUCAUCUGAAAUUGCUAACCUUAAAAGAAAACUGUAGGGAGUUUAAAAAUCACUAUAGGAGAAUUAACUCAUCUGAAAUUGCUAACUAACUCCACAAAUCCUAUGAGAUACUUAGAAGCUGUAUGCAUUUUAUUGGAAUUUUUCCAGCUAAGGAUUUAUUAAUAAUAAUAUAAAUUCUUUUCUAUAUCUCUUUCAAGUAAUGUCUCAUAAAAACUCAAUCCAGUGCAUUGUAUGCAAUCUGUAAACAAGCCUCUGUAUGCUAUGGAGGGGCAAAUUAAGGACAAAUAAGAGCUCAAGGCUUAAGGUGCAUUAUAUGUUAGGAUAUAAUUUAUUAGAUGUUUAUUUCUUUAUAUUUAGUAAGUUAUCUUUAGUAAGUUACUUUGAACAAAGAUCCAUAUUUCUACAUUUAAUGUUAAAUACUACAGAAAGACAAAGACAGAAAUUAGAGGUAGAUGAACCAUCAGUGAAUGUAGAGGGACAUAUGCCUGUCUCUUGCUGUAGCUGUAGAGAUAUAUGCCUUCAAUCUGCACUAAUUGGGGGCUCCUAGAAGUGAAAUUUUCUUUCUUAUGGAUAUUAAUUUCCUGUAGUGGUCCAGGAACUUUUAGUUAUCAUUAUCAAAUGUCAGAGUUACAAAGUUACCGAAGAACUGACAGCAAGUUUGCCCUUGUGACUGUGAAUCUCUAAUCAAUACCUGCAGAUGAUCUCUAAUGAACAGUUUUCAAAUGAUAGGUAGUCUCAGUUUUGAUGUUCCAUUCUUUCUUCAAAUUUGUCAUGGCUGAAUCAUUUGACUUCUUGAU